UUGAAAAAAAACGGCCACUGCCGCUCGGAAUGUCUCGGUCGUGGGCUCGUUAUCCUGUUGUGCGUCAUUCUAAGCCGUUCUGUACGUUUAUACUGGAUAUUAACUGAAGUCAUUUAGCUGUGCUGAUGCUGUGUGCCGUGUGUUUUGCAUCAGUGCUUCGUGACAUCGGCUGUAUUGCGUAUUUUCGCCGACGGCUUACUACCACAAUGGCGGGAUCUGCGUUCGCCGCCUUCGUGUCUCGGUGCGUCUUUGUACGUCGCACGUUCGGAUAACACUUUUCCCGACGGCUGGACAUCCUUCUUGUACCUUGGCGCUAGCUGGAUGACGGGACCUCAUCAUGAUCAGUGUAUUGCUUUCCUAUGUCUACAAGAACCGUCACGCGUGGCCUGUGACAGCAAGCUUUUGUGGGCAGCCAGUGCUCUCCUACGAAGGCUGGCCUACUCUGGCAGCGGCGGCAACCAUCUUCAAGAUUUAUCCAUGAUCCCCUUUGCUGCUAUUUGUCACUCUUGUUAAUUACACUUUCUGAAUCUUUUCUAGUUUAUUAGGUAAUAAAGUAUGAGUAUGUGA